GAUGAACGCUGGCGGCGUGCCUAAUACAUGCAAGUCGAGCGAACGGACGAGAAGCUUGCUUCUCUGCUGUUAGCGGCGGACGGGUGAUUAACACGAGGAUAACCUACCGAUAAGACUGGGAUAACUUCGGGAAACCGGAGCUAAUACCGGAUAAUAUUUUGAACCGCAUGGUUCAAAAGUGAAAGACGGCCUUGCUGUCACUUAUAGAUGGAUCCGCGCUGCAUUAGCUAGUUGGUAAGGUAACGGCUUACCAAGGCAACGAUGCAUAGCCGACCUGAGAGGGUGAUCGGCCACACUGGAACUGAGACACGGUCCAGACUCCUACGGGAGGCAGCAGUAGGGAAUCUUCCGCAAUGGGCGAAAGCCUGACGGAGCAACGCCGCGUGAGUGAAGAAGGUCUUCGGAUCGUAAAACUCUGUUAUUAGGGAAGAACAUAUGUGUAAGUAACUGUGCACAUCUUGACGGUACCUAAUCAGAAAGCCACGGCUGACUACGUG
rnacentral:rRNA from 1 species